UACGGGGGGGGCAAGCGUUGUUCGGAAUUACUGGGCGUAAAGGGCUCGUAGGCGGCCAACUAAGUCAGACGUGAAAUCCCUCGGCUUAACCGGGGAACUGCGUCUGAUACUGGAUGGCUUGAGGUUGGGAGAGGGAUGCGGAAUUCCAGGUGUAGCGGUGAAAUGCGUAGAUAUCUGGAGGAACACCGGUGGCGAAGGCGGCAUCCUGGACCAACACUGACGCUGAGUGAGCGAAAAGCCAGGGGAGCAAACGGGG
rnacentral:rRNA from 1 species